rnacentral:rRNA from 1 species
CAGCCGCCGCGGUAAAACAGAGGGUGCGAGCGUUAAUCGGAUUUACUGGGCGUAAAGCGUGCGUAGGCGGCUUUUUAAGUCGGAUGUGAAAUCCCUGAGCUUAACUUAGGAAUUGCAUUCGAUACUGGGAAGCUAGAGUAUGGGAGAGGAUGGUGGAAUUUCCUGUGUAGCGGUGAAAUGCGUAGAUAUAGGAAGGAACACCAGUGGCGAAGGCGACCACCUGGACUGAUACUGACACUGAGGUGCGAAAGCGUGGGGAGCAAACAGGAUUAGAUACCCCCGUAGUCCCUGUCUCUUAUAA